UUAAGCGACUAAGCGUACACGGUGGAUGCCCUGGCAGUCAGAGGCGAUGAAGGACGUGCUAAUCUGCGAAAAGCGUCGGUAAGGUGAUAUGAACCGUUACAGCCGGCGAUGUCCGAAUGGGGAAACCCAGUGCAAUUCGUUGCACUAUCGUUAACUGAAUACAUAGGUUAACGAGGCGAACCGGGGGAACUGAAACAUCUAAGUACCCCGAGGAAAAGAAAUCAACCGAGAUUCCCCCAGUAGCGGCGAGCGAACGGGGAGCAGCCCAGAGUCUGAAUCAGCUUGUGUGUUAGUGGAACGGUCUGGAAAGUCCGACGGUACAGGGUGAUAGUCCCGUACACCAAAAUGCACAGGCUGUGAACUCGAAGAGUAGGGCGGGACACGUGGUAUCCUGUCUGAAUAUGGGGGGACCAUCCUCCAAGGCUAAAUACUCCUGACUGACCGAUAGUGAACCAGUACCGUGAGGGAAAGGCGAAAAGAACCCCGGCGAGGGGAGUGAAAAAGAACCUGAAACCGUGUACGUACAAGCAGUGGGAGCACCUUCGGGUGUGACUGCGUACCUUUUGUAUAAUGGGUCAGCGACUUAUAUUCUGUAGCAAGGUUAACCGUAUAGGGGAGCCGCAGGGAAACCGAGUCUUAACUGGGCGUUAAGUUGCAGGGUAUAGACCCGAAACCCGGUGAUCUAGCCAUGGGCAGGUUGAAGGUUGGGUAACACUAACUGGAGGACCGAACCGACUAAUGUUGAAAAAUUAGCGGAUGACUUGUGGCUGGGGGUGAAAGGCCAAUCAAACCGGGAGAUAGCUGGUUCUCCCCGAAAGCUAUUUAGGUAGCGCCUCGUGAACUCAUCUUCGGGGGUAGAGCACUGUUUCGGCUAGGGGGUCAUCCCGACUUACCAACCCGAUGCAAACUACGAAUACCGAAGAAUGUUAUCACGGGAGACACACGGCGGGUGCUAACGUCCGUCGUGAAGAGGGAAACAACCCAGACCGCCAGCUAAGGUCCCAAAGUCAUGGUUAAGUGGGAAACGAUGUGGGAAGGCACAGACAGCCAGGAUGUUGGCUUAGAAGCAGCCAUCAUUUAAAGAAAGCGUAAUAGCUCACUGGUCGAGUCGGCCUGCGCGGAAGAUGUAACGGGGCUAAACCAUGCACCGAAGCUGCGGCAGCGACACUAUGUGUUGUUGGGUAGGGGAGCGUUCUGUAAGCCUGCGAAGGUGUGCUGUGAGGCAUGCUGGAGGUAUCAGAAGUGCGAAUGCUGACAUAAGUAACGAUAAAGCGGGUGAAAAGCCCGCUCGCCGGAAGACCAAGGGUUCCUGUCCAACGUUAAUCGGGGCAGGGUGAGUCGACCCCUAAGGCGAGGCCGAAAGGCGUAGUCGAUGGGAAACAGGUUAAUAUUCCUGUACUUGGUGUUACUGCGAAGGGGGGACGGAGAAGGCUAUGUUAGCCGGGCGACGGUUGUCCCGGUUUAAGCAUGUAGGCUGAUUGUCCAGGCAAAUCCGGAUAAUCAAGGCUGAGGUGUGAUGACGAGGCACUACGGUGCUGAAGUAACAAAUGCCCUGCUUCCAGGAAAAGCCUCUAAGCAUCAGGUAACAUCAAAUCGUACCCCAAACCGACACAGGUGGUCAGGUAGAGAAUACCAAGGCGCUUGAGAGAACUCGGGUGAAGGAACUAGGCAAAAUGGUGCCGUAACUUCGGGAGAAGGCACGCUGGUGUGUAGGUGAAGUCCCUGCGGAUGGAGCUGAGACCAGUCGAAGAUACCAGCUGGCUGCAACUGUUUAUUAAAAACACAGCACUGUGCAAACACGAAAGUGGACGUAUACGGUGUGACGCCUGCCCGGUGCCGGAAGGUUAAUUGAUGGGGUUAUCCGUAAGGAGAAGCUCUUGAUCGAAGCCCCGGUAAACGGCGGCCGUAACUAUAACGGUCCUAAGGUAGCGAAAUUCCUUGUCGGGUAAGUUCCGACCUGCACGAAUGGCGUAAUGAUGGCCAGGCUGUCUCCACCCGAGACUCAGUGAAAUUGAACUCGCUGUGAAGAUGCAGUGUACCCGCGGCAAGACGGAAAGACCCCGUGAACCUUUACUAUAGCUUGACACUGAACAUUGAGCCUUGAUGUGUAGGAUAGGUGGGAGGCUUUGAAGCGUGGACGCCAGUCUGCGUGGAGCCAACCUUGAAAUACCACCCUUUAAUGUUUGAUGUUCUAACGUUGGCCCCUGACCGGGGUUGCGGACAGUGUCUGGUGGGUAGUUUGACUGGGGCGGUCUCCUCCCAAAGCGUAACGGAGGAGCACGAAGGUUAGCUAAUCCUGGUCGGACAUCAGGAGGUUAGUGCAAUGGCAUAAGCUAGCUUGACUGCGAGCGUGACGGCGCGAGCAGGUGCGAAAGCAGGUCAUAGUGAUCCGGUGGUUCUGAAUGGAAGGGCCAUCGCUCAACGGAUAAAAGGUACUCCGGGGAUAACAGGCUGAUACCGCCCAAGAGUUCAUAUCGACGGCGGUGUUUGGCACCUCGAUGUCGGCUCAUCACAUCCUGGGGCUGAAGUAGGUCCCAAGGGUAUGGCUGUUCGCCAUUUAAAGUGGUACGCGAGCUGGGUUUAGAACGUCGUGAGACAGUUCGGUCCCUAUCUGCCGUGGGCGCUGGAGAAUUGAGGGGGGCUGCUCCUAGUACGAGAGGACCGGAGUGGACGCAUCACUGGUGUUCGGGUUGUCAUGCCAAUGGCACUGCCCGGUAGCUAAAUGCGGAAGAGAUAAGUGCUGAAAGCAUCUAAGCACGAAACUUGCCCCGAGAUGAGUUCUCCCUGAGACUAUAAGUCUCCUGAAGGAACGUUGAAGACGACGACGUUGAUAGGCCGGGUGUGUAAGCGCAGCGAUGCGUUGAGCUAACCGGUACUAAUGAACCGUGAGGCUUAACCUU
rnacentral:rRNA from 1 species